rnacentral:rRNA from 1 species
AUGGGGCAACCCCGGACAGUUCAAGAGUUGGUGUGCUAGGUGAGCACACAACGUCCAUCUAUCAUUUUUUUAUCAGAGACUAGGCAGAAUAAAGAGAGAGUGAGCAACCUCAGGUGGCGAUUGGGGCUAAAGAACUAUAUGUUGCAUGAUGGCAUAGGAAAGGGAGCAGGAAUCGCUUUGUACUGGGAUGAAUCUGUUGAAAUAAAAAAGCUAUCUAUUGGACCUCGGUAUAUUGAUGUGUUGAUUCGAAAUAAUCCCAAUGAUCAGUGGUGGAGAGGUACUUUCGUGUAUGGUGAGCCAAAAGCUCACGAGAGGAUCCACAUGUGGAACCUACUAAAGAGAAUCAAACACAACUCAAAUGCACCAUGGCUUGUGAUCGGUGACUUUAAUAAAACAUAG